CUACACUCAGCAGUGCCAGGGAUCCCCCGCUCUGUUAUUGCCUCGACUGGGAAAACGCCAGGGAACCCCCGUUCAGACACAGAGGGGUCACACAACUUGAUCCUGUGUGUCAGCCUACUGAAGCUGCCCAUGACUGCUAGCCAUCUUCACAUUGCAUACCGGACUGCCUCAAAAAUGACUGGUUGUGUGAAUGCCACAGCUUCCCAAACAGGUCUGUCUUCUGUUUCAAGACAAAUUUUCUGAAUCCAAAUAUUCCAAAUUUUCUGGUCCCAAACAUUCAACUAUGAGUGCCUGGGAACUUAGCAUGGCACUUCCAUUUCUGCAGAGGAAAACUUGAUACGUGAAGAGGAAUGAGGCUGGCAGGGGCAAGCCUUGGAACCCAAAGCAAGAGAGGACCUUGGACUCAUCUGGUAGAAACGAACUCUAUGCCAUCUGCUCAGCAUACCUUAGAGAAAAAGGACCUAUUUCCCCUUCUCAUUCACAUAAUUAGUGAGCUGUGAAAUUAGUUCUUUAAUGGAUAGGAAACCUGGAGAUUACUGCACUUGUCACAAUACAAUGCAACGCAAUACAAAAUGAGCUUAUAUAGUGCCUUUCAUGCAAAUGCAUCCCAAGGCACUUUACAAUAAAACUAAACAUAAAAAUGCAAAAGUGUUCUACCAUUUUGGCCAUAAGCUACUGUUAAAGGGGAAAAUAUACGUUUACAUUUAAAUGGAUCUCCCAAGGAGAGAUUUCAAAAUUCAAACAGAAAUAAAUCCUAAUUUUAAAAUAGCCAGUACAAUAGGUUUUGAUGAUCUCACAUGCCAAGCAGCUUAUCCAGAGACUCCAAAUCAGUCAGAAAAUCUUUUGCUGCCAAAUUGUUUAUCUUUAAGGCAUGAAAGUGCUUUUAAGGCAAACUGAUAUCUGACAAGGAGGCAGUGAAACUCUCAGAAGUUGGAAUGACAUGCUGAGUAAGUGUGAUAUGAAGCUUAAUAUUCUAGUGGUAGAACUUGGCAGAAGUUGGAGUCCAGACAACAGUUUCUUAAAGAAACUAGAAAAUAAGUACAACACAUUAAUCUGGCUCAGAAAGGCAAACAGUAUGGUUUUUUUUAAAAUCAGCUUUAUUUCUAAAACUGUAGUCUUUGCACCAAUGAAAGGAAAUGGGAAUUGCUGGAAGACUUUAGCAAAAGCAGACCAUUAAGAAGCAACCAGAAAUUCAAAAACAGCAUUAACUGAUUAUUUAGAUAUAAAUAUAGACAUAUAACUGAUAUGAAUCAUUAACUGGAAUCAAAUGGACAUUAUGCCAGAUGCAGAGCAACAUCAUGGCUUUUUGUCAAAUUCUUUAAGUCACUGAGAUGGAAAUCUGUAUGAUGAUGAGACAGUCAACUCAAGUGAAAGCAUUAAAAAAGUCAUUGCAUGUUUAGAAGUAAUUUGAAUUCUGAUAAUAUUCUUCAUAUUUGACUGAUGAAUACUGCUUCACUGGCAAUAACUCUAAAUCAGAUUGCACUUCUUAUAAGCAUGCACAACAUAUACUAAUCAUUGGCUAGCAUCUGUAUGUCUUCUUUGAUUUUUAGAUGCUACAAGAUAAAUCCAUUAUUUACAUAGGCUCAGAUUCCACAGUCCUCCCUCUACAGUAAGAUUAACUUAAGUGUGUGCUUAAAUCUCUGUACUGAAUAAAGACAGAUAAGACCAUAUAUUUAAAAUACAUUGGUUUAGUGAUUUAAUACUUUGCUCACCUCUCUGGGUGAAAAAUCAUCGAUUUUAUUGCAAAAAAAAAAAAAACAGCACAGAUCUCAGGGAAGAGCAAAAAAAAAAAAACAGCACAGAUCUCAGGGAAGAAUAUAAAGUACAUGCUUGAAUUUGCAGGUUGGUCUCUUUACCUUUCAUCUGAGAGACAGCAGGAAUUGAUAAUGAUUGGCCUUGCUCUCCACCCUUAUGCCUUAGGCUUCCUAAGCUUUUUAGUCUCUUGCUGCUCUUUGCACAGCUUUCUUUUCCUUAAGUCACACUAUAGGAACUAUGUUUUGUGGUACAGAACGUGCUACAGGUUUCAGCAACAGACUGUUUAGGGUGCAGGGAGGAACUGUCUCUAAUUACAUUUUUAGGAUUCUUUAUCUAAAUAGAGAUUGGCGGACUGGAAGGAAGAAGAGGUAGGAACUUUGUGAAAGGAAAUUCUUCUUGAAUUUCAAACUGGAACCUGCUACAAUGUUGCCAUUCACUAAAGCACACAUAAUACAAGAAAUUACUUUUACUGAAAAUGAAUUUAAUACUUUCUCAUUAAAUUGUCUAAACUUUUUAAAGAUUAUGUUUUAUUUCACAAAUAUUUCUUGGUACAGUUUUGGACCCCCUUUUUUGU